CUUAAGUUCGGAGGCCUGUGACUCACGUUGAAAUCAGCACCUCCAGGUGUGAGCGGAGGUGAUCUGGUCAGAAUGGCAACAGCACCCAUCCCACUACCCACAAGGUGAGCCUGACACCGUUACCAAGACUUCUGUCCUUCUGGAUUCAACAGGCUCAAGAGAUUGUCUGUGCCUCUUCUCCACUGUUUCAUUAGCUGAGAAAGGCUCUGGGGAGUCUAACAGCCAGGACAGACAAAGAGCAGUAAAACAAAUACUGAGGAACUCAAGAACCAUGUGAGGUUGACACCUGAGGUAUUACUUGGACUCUGUACUGCAAAGAACAUUUAUUCAUUCAACAAGCAUCUACUGAGUACCUCCGGUGUCCCAGGCACUGUGCUCGUGGCUGGGCUUACAGCUGUGACUUCAUAGAGGUUAGAUUUGAGUGUGUGCGUGUACACCUGGCAUAGGUAAACAAGCAAGUCAUUAAGAUAAUUUCAGAGUGAUAAAGAUGGUGAAGAAAAUGAGCAGGACGAAGUGAAACGGAGGAGUGGGGUGGGGGCAACUCCAGGAUGUGCGGUUGGGAAAGGCCUCUCUGAGGAGAUGAGGGGACAAGAAAGAAGCAGCCCUGUGAGGCCCCAGGAUGAGAACUUUCCACAGAGCGAGCAGCAAGUGCAAAGGCCCUGGGCUGCAUGGGAGCUCAGAGAAUCAGGAGGAUAGCAAGGAGGCUGCCAUGCUGGAGGAGAAUGAGGGAAGAGAGUGCAGAGGCCAGUUUGGAGAGGCUGAAUAAAGCCUGAGUGUGCGUGGUGCAGUGUUCAAUUUUUAUUUUUGAGGAUUUAUUUAUGUAUUUACUUGAGACAGAGGUCUUGCUCUGCCACCAGGCUAGAGGGCAGUGGUACCAUCACGGCUCACUACCGCCUCGACCUCCCUGGGUGCAACUAAUCCUUCCACCUUAGCCUCCUGAGUAACUGAGAACACAGGUGCAUGCCAUCUUGCUCUGCCAAUUUUUGUAUUUUUUGUAGAGAUGGCUUUUUGCUAUGUUGCCCAGGCUGGUCUUGAACUCCUGAAGUCAAGCAAUCCGCCCACCUUGGCCUCCCACCAUGCUGGGAUUACAGGCGUGAGCCACCGCACCCGGUUUUUUGAGGACUUCAAACAGCAAACAACAUAGUUUCCGU
rnacentral:lncRNA from 1 species